GUUUGUACUCCUGUCUUUACCAGUGAAAUCUGAACUGUUGGACUACAGAAACAUGCCCUGACUUACCGUAAUUUAUGAGUUUAAUACAUUUAGAUAAAUAUCAUCAUAUGUUAUACUUUAAUCUGUCAGUUAAAUACAAAAUAACCGCGCUGGCUAGCUGUAUAUGGUUCGCCUUACCUUCAUCAUCGUCAUUGUCAACAAUUGAUAGAAGAAUCACGGAGAAAUUAAAGGAACAUGCUAACUCAAAAAUCGGAGACAUCUAGCUGGAUUAAACGGAGCUGAGAGGAGAAGAAGAACACGGGAGCGUUUUGAAGAGAAAGACAUCAAUACAAAAAACGCUGCCUGAAGCUCCAAUCACCACCUGACUCACAGCUCCAUCAGGCAGCUUUCAGGUUCACCGAGCAGGACGCUAAAAGUCCUAAAAGUGCCCCCAGUAGGUAAACCCACUCCUCUUUGUGUUUGGCACCGCUGGCCUGACUGUAGGCCGCCCUGACCCCCACCCUUUUAUCCUAAAGAAGUGCGCUAAAGGGUUGUGACAGAGCUGAUGCAUGCACUGAAGUUUCAAGUCUUCCAGGGCUAUUUGAGUCCUUUUUCUGACAUGUUCAACUUUCUGUGUCAGCGUGGAUUUCAUGGUGCAGCCAGAGGAUUAAACGCCCGCUGAAGCGAAGCAUCCUACCUGACUCGUUCUGUCUGUGCAUGGAUAUGGGAUACAUCGUUGGAGGCAUUUGUGUGCGUGGGCGUUGGAAGAAUUAUAAACAGCAGACAAAGGUUCCCUUCUCCACUACUGAGACAGGUGCACCGUUGAGGAAUCACAUUUCCUUCCUCUGUGUGCUGUUCAAACCACAAAUCCUUCACAGAGGAAAAUAAAGGAUUGUUUUU